AGCAUGGGCCACUAUGGACGAAUCACAGCUACAGGAAAAUGGUGUUGUCAAAUAUCCAACAACUGACCACCUAAAAGCAUGGCCGCGUCAUUUCCUGGAGAAUGAGUCCCAAGAUUUAACCAUAGUGAAUGACUACGACCCAGAUACACCUCAUGACUGUUUUGAACAGAUGAAAAUGGAAACAACACAUCUACCAACUGUGCAUGAAGACACAUUGGUAGAUCCCGAUCUCACCCUGUUUGUGGACGGCUCAAG
rnacentral:lncRNA from 1 species